rnacentral:rRNA from 1 species
UGGCGGACGGGUGAGUAACGCGUGGGUAACCUGCCUCAUACAGGGGGAUAACAGUUAGAAAUGACUGCUAAUACCGCAUAAGACCACAGUACCGCAUGGUACAGGGGUAAAAACUCCGGUGGUAUGAGAUGGACCCGCGUCUGAUUAGGUAGUUGGUGGGGUAACGGCCUACCAAGCCGACGAUCAGUAGCCGACCUGAGAGGGUGACCGGCCACAUUGGGACUGAGAUACGGCCCAA